GGGGGCGAAAUGGUUUCGACUGCCUAGGCAGAUCGCGGGUGGCAUGCAGAGGAUGAUCGUAGGCCUCUUUAAUCAUCGGUCAAAAAAAUAACUGCGAACAAUCAAGAAUUCGCCCUCGCUGCUUAGUCCAGCGACGUCUUCACCUGGAUGUCUAUUAAGGGAUGAAGGCGUACGGAGUAGACUGGUCAUGAAGCCGUGCCAACGGGCCGAUUGACGAGACCUGACAGAUGGCUGCUUCUUCCGGUGUGUGUGGACGCCACCGACCCGGAAGACUAAGAUUGAAUCGCGUCCUAAGCAUGUAGAGGCCUUCGGGACGUCUUUGUAGGACCCGGGUUCAACUCCCGGCGCCUCCAUC
rnacentral:tmRNA from 1 species